GAUGAACGCUGGCGGCGUGCCUAACACAUGCAAGUCGAACGGAGUUACUUGUUUAGAUCUCUUCGGAGUGACGAACUUUUAACUUAGUGGCGGACGGGUGAGUAACACGUGAGCAACCUGCCUUUCAGAGGGGGACAACGGCUGGAAACGGUCGCUAAUACCGCAUAAAAUAUUUAAGCGGCAUCGCUUAAAUAUCAAAGGAGCAAUCCGCUGAAAGAUGGGCUCGCGUCUGAUUAGAUAGUUGGCAGGGUGAUAGCCUACCAAGGCGACGAUCGGUAGCCGGCCUGAGAGGGCGGACGGCCACACUGGGACUGAGACACGGCCCAG
rnacentral:rRNA from 1 species